AACCACUCAUCGAUUAUAUCCAAAACCCAUUCAAAUUUCACAUUCAUAUAAAGGGAUGGGGAUCUGAAUGUGCAUAGAACCAUAUUACAUGAAUUUUUGAGAGAAGAGAGAGUAAUCACUCAUAAGGGCCUGAAAACAUAUCUGAAGGUACCUCUUGGUUGGGUGGACAGAUGAUGCAAAAAUCAUUUGUGCCCAAUAACAGGGAUAAUGGAUAAUGAAGGGGGAAGUC